rnacentral:rRNA from 1 species
UACGGAAAGCUACGGCGAGUACGGAAGGCAGUGGAGGAACUUCCAAGAAAAGUUUCUAACGUUAAGUAUAUAUGGCCCGUACCGAAAAUGGACACACAUGGGUGAGGAGAGAAUCCUAAGGUGAGCGAGAGAACUAUAGCUAAGGAACUCUGCAAAAUGACUCCGUAACUUAGGGAGAAGGAGUGCUUAUAGAGAUAUGAGCCGCAGUGAAACGGCCCAAGCGACUGUUUACCAAAAACACAGCUCUCUGCUAAGCCGCAAGGCGAAGUAUAGGGGGUGACGCCUGCCCGGUGCUGGAAGGUUAAGGGGAGGGGUUAACGCAAGUGAAGCCCUGAACUGAAGCCCCAGUAAACGGCGGCCGUAACAAUAACGGUCCUAAGGUAACGAAAUUCCUUGUCAGGUAAGUUCUGACCCGCAUGAAAGGCGUAACGAUUUGGGCGCUGUCUCAGCUGUAGACUCGGUGAAGUCUUAGUACCUGUGAAGAUGCAGGUUACCCGCGACUAGACGGAAAGACCCCACGGAGCUUCACUGCAGGUUGAUAUUGGGAUUUGAUGCAGCAUGUACAGGAUAGGUAGGAGGCAAAGAGAUGGAUACGCCAGUAUUCAAGGAGCCGCUGUUGGGAUACUACCCCUGUUGUAUUGGAUUUCUAACCGGACGACGUAGAGCCGUUGACGGGACAGUGUCAGUCGGGCAGUUUGACUGGGGCGGUCGCCUCCCAAAGAGUAACGGAGGCGCCCAAAGAUACCCUCAGCUUGGAUGGAAACCAAGCGCAGAGUGCAAAGGCAAAAGGGUGUUUGACUGCGAGACCCACAAGUCGAGCAGGGACGAAAGUCGGGCUUAGUGAUCCGGCGGUGCUGAAUGGAAAGGCCGUCGCUCAACGGAUAAAAGCUACCCUGGGGAUAACAGGCUGAUCUCCCCCAAGAGUUCACAUCGACGGGGAGGUUUGGCACCUCGAUGUCGGCUCAUCGCAUCCUGGAGCUGAAGUCGGUUCCAAGGGUUGGGCUGUUCGCCCAUUAAAGCGGUACGCGAGCUGGGUUCAGAACGUCGUGAGACAGUUCGGUCCCUAUCUGUCGUGGGCGCAGGAAAUUUGAGAAGAGCUGUCCUCAGUACGAGAGGACCGGGAUGGACGCAUCAAUGGUGGACCAGUUGUCACGCCAGUGGCAUAGCUGGGUAGCUAAAUGCGGAAGGGAUAAACGCUGAAGGCAUCUAAGUGUGAAACCCACUUCAAGAUGAGAUUUCCCAUUGCGCAAGCAAGUAAGACCUCUUAAAGACGAUAAGGUAGAUAGGUCAGGAGUGUAAGCAUGGUGACAUGUUAAGCGGACUGAUACUAAUAGGUCGAGGGCUUGAGC